rnacentral:snRNA from 1 species
GCGAGUAGACCCCGUCCA